UGGGUGUGUGAAUCUGCUAGAAUGUUGAGUUGGAGUUGGUGGUUCAAUUAGCAGUUACUGAGGGCUAUUUUUGAAGCUAUGAUAGGAGCCACUGCAGUGUCUUUGUGAAUAGUGAGUAGAGACCAAUGGAGGGCAGCAAUACGCCAUAGAUACGUCUAGCCUGCCGGAAACAACAACAAGAAGAACUGCGUAUUCAAAUCAUGCUAUGCCAACCUGGAUUUAUGCUGAGUGUUUUGUGUGUGUCUGUGCGUGUGUUCAAGUGGCUCUAUAGUUAGUGAAAUUUAUAAUUGUAAAGUUCUGUUUGAUUCCCAAUUGAGCCAAAUGUGUCCUAGGGCAAAGCACUCUACCCUAAUUUACUCCAGGAAAAUGUACCUGUACUUAUUUUAAGUCGCUCUGGAUAAGACCAUCUGCUAAAUGAC
ensembl:lncRNA